rnacentral:rRNA from 1 species
AUGGCGGGCGUGGGUCGCAACAUGGUGGCGCCGCUGCUGGUGCUGAACCUCAUCAUGUACAUCGUCGUCAUCGGCUUCGCCAGCUGGAACCUCAACCACUUCAUCAACGGCCUCACCAACCGCCCCGGCGUCGGCGGCAACGGCGCCACCUUCUACUUCCUCGUCUUCGCCAUCCUCGCCGGCGUAGUCGGCGCCGCGUCCAAGCUCGCCGGCGUGCACCACGUCCGCACCUGGCGCGGGGACAGCCUUGCCACCUCCGCCUCGUCAGCGCUGGUGGCCUGGGCGAUUACCGCCUUGGCGUUCGGGCUGGCGUGCAAGGAGAUUCAUAUUGGUGGGUACCGCGGAUGGCGCCUCAGGGUGCUGGAGGCGUUCGUGAUCAUUUUGAUGUUCACGCAGCUGCUCUACGUGCUCGCGCUGCACUCCGGCCUCUUCGGGAACCAGUUUGGCAACCAUGCUGGUGCUGGUGGGUACGGAGCCGAGCACGGCGCGUAUGGCGCCGGCGACCCGCACAACAAGGGCAUGGGCACCGGCGGCGUCGCGAGGGUGUAA